AUGGAUGGAAACCUUAAGAUCAUUUUUUGGAAUGUCCGAGGCCUAAACUCUCGUGCUAAACGUUCUGCAGUCCGUAGCGUUAUUUCCUCCGCUGCCCCUUGCGUCGUUUGCCUCCAGGAAACGAAGCUUGCUCACAUGUCGGACUCUCUGGUGCUGGAAACACUGGGCGCCCCCUUC
rnacentral:rRNA from 1 species